UCCCCAAGCAAAGGGUCUGCAUUGCUUGUGGGUCGUAUUCUGAUACCUAAGUCUAAUAAGAUUACUGUAUUUAUACUUYUUUCKUUAUUAGUGACAGUGACUUUGGAGAUCAAAUUUGAGGGUAAAGCAUUUGAUAACGCAACAAAUGGCACAACCCCUGAAGGCAAACGUCUUCGGAACAUACUUAGCGACCUUCUAAAACUGCUUAAAAAGAUUUUCGAGAUUUUAAAAAACAUUUUGAGGAUUACAAUCAUCGAUGUAAAGAAAGCAAACAGUGUGAUCGUGAAAUAUGAGCUCGUCGUCAACGCAACUUCGAGAGANUU